rnacentral:rRNA from 1 species
UACGAAGGGGGCUAGCGUUGCUCGGAAUUACUGGGCGUAAAGCGCACGUAGGCGGCUUGUUAAGUCGGGGGUGAAAUCCUGGAGCUCAACUUCAGAACUGCCUUCGAUACUGGCGAGCUCGAGUUCGGGAGAGGUGAGUGGAACUGCGAGUGUAGAGGUGAAAUUCGUAGAUAUUCGCAAGAACACCAGUGGCGAAGGCGGCUCACUGGCCCGAUACUGACGCUGAGACGCGAAAGCGUGGGGAGCGAACAGG